AAGAGAAGAAAAAACUUGAAUGCAGGGAAGAUAACGGACCCUGUUCAAAUUCGCCAUUUUUACUCGCAUAAUAUUGCCUUAAAAGUAGAGAGGGCCUUGACAAUAGUUACUAAUUUUUGUAAAUUCAAGCUGGUGACGUCCUAAUCCGAGUUAAACGACAACACAACUGGACAACAACCGAUGGAAAUGAAAUGUGUGUCACAAAAGGAGCCCGGAGGGAUGAAGGCUGCUAAGUGCUGCUAGCUGGUGCUGUAAACUCCUCCAUCUGAGACCAUGAAGACUCCAUCUGGUUCACUGUUUCUGAUUAUCUGAGCUGUACCAGACUCCGACUCCUGUCUGAACCAGUAAAUCUUCCAACCAUCACCGUCAUCAACAGAGCAGCUGUAAACUCCUCCCUCUGAGACCCUGAUGAUUCCAUCUGGUUCAUUGUUUCUGAUGGACUGAGCUGAAUGAUG